UACGGGGGGGGCAAGCGUUGUUCGGAAUUACUGGGCGUAAAGGGCGCGUAGGCGGUUCGCUAAGUCGAUGUGAAAACUCUGGGCUCAACCCAGAGCCUGCAUCCGAAACUGGCGGGCUAGAGUUCUGGAGGGGGUAGCGGAAUUCCUGGUGUAGCGGUGAAAUGCGUAGAUAUCAGGAGGAACACCGGUGGCGAAGGCGGCUACCUGGACAGAAACUGACGCUGGAGGCGCGAAAGCUAGGGGAGCAAACAGG
rnacentral:rRNA from 1 species